UAGGGAAUCUUCCGCAAUGGGCGAAAGCCUGACGGAGCAACGCCGCGUGAGUGAUGAAGGUCUUCGGAUCGUAAAACUCUGUUAUUAGGGAAGAACAAAUGUGUAAGUAACUAUGCACGUCUUGACGGUACCUAAUCAGAAAGCCACGGCUAACUACGUGCCAGCAGCCGCGGUAAUACGUAGGUGGCAAGCGUUAUCCGGAAUUAUUGGGCGUAAAGCGCGCGUAGGCGGUUUUUUAAGUCUGAUGUGAAAGCCCACGGCUCAACCGUGGAGGGUCAUUGGAAACUGGAAAACGUGAGUGCAGAAGAGGAAAGUGGAAUUCCAUGUGUAGCGGUGAAAUGCGCAGAGAUAUGGAGGAACACCAGUGGCGAAGGCGACUUUCUGGUCUGUAACUGACGCGGAUGUGCGAAAGCGUGGGGAUCAAACAGG
rnacentral:rRNA from 1 species